AUGCUCGCUUCGGCAGCACAUAUACAAAAAUUGGAACAAUACAGAGAUGAGUAUGGCCCCUGUGCAAGGAUGACUCACAAAUUCAUGGUGUUCUGUAUUUUUUA